UACGAAGGGGGCUAGCGUUGCUCGGAAUGACUGGGCGUAAAGAGCGUGUAGGCGGCUCGAUAAGUCUGCUGUGAAAGUCCAGGGCUCAACCCUGGAAGGCCGGUGGAAACUGUCGGGCUAGAGUCCGGAAGAGGCGAGUGGAAUUCCCGGUGUAGCGGUGAAAUGCGCAGAUAUCGGGAGGAACACCAAUGGCGAAGGCAGCUCGCUGGGACGGUACUGACGCUGAGACGCGAAAGCGUGGGGAGCAAACAGGG
rnacentral:rRNA from 1 species